rnacentral:rRNA from 1 species
AACGAACGCUGGCGGCAGGCUUAACACAUGCAAGUCGAACGCCCCGCAAGGGGAGUGGCUGCCGGGUGAGUAACGCGUGGGAACAUACCCUUUUCUACGGAAUAGCUCUGGGAGACUGGAAUUAAUACCGUAUACGCCCUACGGGGGAAAGAUUUAUCGGGGAAGGAUUGGCCCGCGUUGGAUUAGCUAGUUGGUGGGGUAAAGGCCUACCAAGGCGACGAUCCAUAGCUGGUCUGAGAGGAUGAUCAGCCACAUUGGGACUGAGACACGGCCCAAACUCCUACGGGAGGCAGCAGUGGGGAAUAUUGGACAAUGGGCGCAAGCCUGAUCCAGCCAUGCCGCGUGAGUGAUGAAGGCCUUAGGGUUGUAAAGCUCUUUCACCGAUGAAGAUAAUGACGGUAGUCGGAGAAGAAGCCCCGGCUAACUUCGUG